rnacentral:tRNA from 1 species
GGGCCGGUGGUGUAGCCUGGUUAACAUGCGUCCCUGUCACGGACGAGAUCGAGGGUUCAAAUCCCUUCCGGCCCG